UUUUCUGGGCUGUAAACGUGCUGCAUAAACACGCCGUGCAAUGGAUUGUGGACUCCGUGGAAAGAGCCCUCUUCCAGCAGGCUGGGAACACGUCACCGAUGGGUCCAUGACCUGCCGGGAUGUGAAGUAAUGCGUGUGUGUGAGCCUAUCAAUAUAUUCGCUUUGGGGUGGGAGGAGGGAGCAUUUAUCAGACUUUCUUUUUCCUUUUAUUUCCGGCAGGGUGCUGUUUUAGGGGUGUGUGUGGAGAAGCCAGAGAAUACGCAGGAAGCUUGUGUCGACUUCGUGUUCAGCCUUCACUCUUCUCCUUGGGCCAAGCUCGUGAUGACUUUGUCUCUCCCUUUCUGA
rnacentral:lncRNA from 1 species